rnacentral:lncRNA from 1 species
UCUCUCUAUAAUAUUAAGCAAAAGUCAAAAGUCUUUACAAUGAAAAGUAUUCUCCUAUUUAUACUAAUGAGUAAAAACGUCCAAAAUCCAUCAAAUUAUGGUAAUAAUUUGAUUUCAUAAGAAUUCUAUCGAAACUAGGACAUUCGGCCAAAAUUGGAAAAUUCCCCAAAUUUUUGGCUUGUGCGGCUGCAUGGUGUAUUUCCAUGCGAUCGCAUGGUUCAACAAGAAUUGAUGUUUUGAUUUUCGGUAUGCCACCGUGCGGCCGCAUGGUGUUUUGCUUGUGCAGCCACACAGGCUUAUUUUCAGCCUCCAGUUUCGUCGCUUGAUAACAAAUUGAUCCAAGUUGAUUCGGUCUUUGACCCGAACAUGAAAGUUGCUCCAUUUUGAGUCUCGAACAUGGUUCCAUCAAUGGUUUCUUGAAUGAGAAAUCCCAUCGCUUGUUUCACUUGCUUUGCCCUUGAUCGCGUCAUUGGUCCGCCAUCGACUAUCAAAGGGUCUCGUCUCGCACUUGCCUUCGUUGGGCUCGACUCCUGGAUCAUAUCAUUCGCCCUCCAUGCUACGCAGUCGGUCCCAAGUGUCGUUCACUCUUAUCUGUAUUCCAUCCACUCUUCCCACAUAUAUGCUCUGUCGCUCGUUCAUGGUUUCCAUCUCUCUCAUUGCUGAUCGGGCCUCCUGAUAUGCAAACUGUGCCAUGUUUUGAGUAGUAUUGAUAUCACGUCAGGCUGUCUGUAUGUCAGUCAUCAAAUCCCCUAGAGCUUGCUGGAUUCCCUCUAUAUCGCGGCUAGUUCUUGUUAGAGUUAUAGACAUCUGACACAGUACCUGUGUAUCAGCUCCCAUCUGUGGUG